UCACUAGUGAUUCCCGCGCCCGGCCCGCCGCCCCCGCCCGGGCAGCCGUGGGGAAUCUUCCGCAAUGGGCGAAAGCCUGACGGAGCAACGCCGCGUGAGGGACGAAGGCCUCUGGGCUGCAAACCUCUUUUCUCAAGGAAGAAGAUAUGACGGUACUUGAGGAAUAAGCCACGGCUAAUUCCGUGCCAGCAGCCGCGGUAAUACGGGAGUGGCAAGCGUUAUCCGGAAUUAUUGGGCGUAAAGCGUCCGCAGGCGGCCUUUCAAGUCUGCUGUUAAAGCGUGGAGCUUAACUCCAUCAUGGCAGUGGAAACUGAUCGGCUUGAGUAUGGUAGGGGCAGAGGGAAUUCCCGGUGUAGCGGUGAAAUGCGUAGAUAUCGGGAAGAACACCAGUGGCGAAGGCGCUCUGCUGGGCAUUACUGACGCUCAUGGACGAAAGCCAGGGGAGCGAAAGGGAUUAGAUACCCCUGUAGUCCUGGCCGU
rnacentral:rRNA from 1 species